AUGCUUCUCCUAAAGACUAAGCCAUGCAUGUCUUCGAAUAAGAGGAAGCAAUUCUCUCUGAAUCUGCGAACGGCUCCGCAAACCAGUUGUAAGCUAAAGCAAGCAAGCCGGCCGGUUCGGGACCUUCACGGGUAACGGGCCAGCUGGCAACACGGAUAACCCUGGUAAUUCUGAGGCUAAUACGAGAACGCAAUCCCUGGUUCGACCGGCUUAGCCACUUCAGUGUGGCGGCUGGGAGGCUGGGAAGCGUGCGAGCUAUUAUACACGAGACAAACAAAAACCAGGAAAGGACG
rnacentral:rRNA from 1 species